UACGAAAGGUGCGAGCGUUAAUCGGAAUUACUGGGCGUAAAGCGCGCGUAGGUGGUGUGUUAAGUCGGAUGUGAAAGCCCUGGGCUCAACCUGGGAACUGCAUCCGAUACUGGCACGCUAGAGUGCAGUAGAGGGAGGUGGAAUUUCCGGUGUAGCGGUGAAAUGCGUAGAGAUCGGAAGGAACACCAGUGGCGAAGGCGGCCUCCUGGACUGACACUGACACUGAGGUGCGAAAGCGUGGGGAGCAAAC
rnacentral:rRNA from 1 species